CCCCCUCAAUCCAAUUCAACCAAAUGUGUGCCUCUAUAAGAGGUAGACCAGGUGUAACUUGUCGUGACCUACACGUGCGCACGCAUGGACAGAGACACACACACAAAUGUGUGCCUCUAUAAGAGGUAGACCAGGUGUAACUUGUCGUGACCUACACGUGCGCACGCAUGGACACAGACACACACACAAAGACACACAUGCGCAUAUAUAUAGGUAUAAUUUAUAUACAUGUGCAUACAUAUACAUACAUGUGUGUGUGUGUGUGUGUGCAUGUAUGCACACUUCAUGCACAUGCAUGUGUUUGAGAGAGAGAGAGAGAGAG
rnacentral:lncRNA from 1 species